GCAUCAGUGGUGUAGCGGUAACAUCAAUGCCUUCCAAGCAUUAGCUCCGGGUUCGACUCCCGGCUGAUGCA
rfam:Schizosaccharomyces japonicus yFS275 unplaced genomic scaffold supercont5.1, whole genome shotgun sequence.